AUUGAACGCUGGCGGAAUGCUUUACACAUGCAAGUCGAACGGCAGCACGGGGGCAACCCUGGUGGCGAGUGGCGAACGGGUGAGUAAUACAUCGGAACGUGCCCAGUCGUGGGGGAUAACGUAGCGAAAGCUACGCUAAUACCGCAUACGAACUCUGGUUGAAAGCGGGGGAUCGCAAGACCUCGCGCGAUUGGAGCGGCCGAUGGCAGAUUAGGUAGUUGGUGGGGUAAAGGCUCACCAAGCCGACGAUCUGUAGCUGGUCUGAGAGGACGACCAGCCACACUGGGACUGAGACACGGCCCAGACUCCUACGGGAGGCAGCAGUGGGGAAUUUUGGACAAUGGGCGCAAGCCUGAUCCAGCCAUUCCGCGUGCAGGAUGAAGGCCCUCGGGUUGUAAACUGCUUUUGUACGGAACGAAAAGGCUUUCUCUAAUACAGAGGGCUCAUGACGGUACCGUAAGAAUAAGCACCGGCUAACUACGUG
rnacentral:rRNA from 1 species